UAAGUUAUCGGAGCCUCUACGAGCGAUGU
rnacentral:sRNA from 1 species